ensembl:lncRNA novel transcript
CCACCGAGAAACAAGCAGUGCGCACCACAGCUGCCGUCUUCCUCCGCACGAAUGUGCACGAAACAAAGGCUAAUAAAACUCACAUGUCCGUGGGCACUAGUGUACUUUUUCUACAAACAAAAGUUAACAGUGAAGCAGCCUCAGGCAGGUCCUGCAGGAGGUGUCCAGAAGAAGGCCUUGUGAUCACAGGAGGUGACAGCUCUGUGCAUUCAUCACGCUGAAGACCUGCCACUGGAACAAGAUACUCAAACACCAUUGCGAUACAGUUGCCUGCAUUAUUCAGCACAGUAACCUGCUAUCCAGGAGCAAUAGAUUCUACCCCUAGCCUAGGUGUAUGUUGGGCUACACCGGCUAUGUACACGUCUCUCCGUGAUGUUCGCACAAUGAUGAAAUGGCCUAAGGAUGCAUUUCUCGGAACGUAUCCCCGUCGUUGAGCAACAGGACUGUGCACAAUACAUUACUGUUAACUAGAGUCCACACAUCAUACAAUAGAGCUCCAGAAUCCAUUCGCCGUACCUGACUGAAAUUUUGUGCUCUUUAACCAGCAUCUUCCAAUUCCUCAUCCCGCUGGCCCCCUGGUAAUUUCUUUUCCACUCUGCUUCUACGAGGGCGACUGUCUUGGAUUCCACAUGUGAGAUCACGAGGUAUUUGUCCUUGUUUCUGGCUCAUUUCACGUAACAGGACAUCCAUCCACAUUGUCGCAAAUGGCAGGAUUUUCCUUGUUGAAGCUGAAUCGUUUUCCACGGUGUGUACGAUCCACAUUUGCUCCGUUCACCCACUGAUGAACACUUAGGUUGGUCCUGUACUUGGCUGUUGUGAAGAGGGCUGUGGAGAACAAGGGGGCAGGUGUCUCUUCAAGACACUGAUUUUAUUUCCCUUGAAUGUUCACCCAGAAGUGGGAUUGCUGCAUCGCAUGGCUGGGUAUUUUUAGGUUUUUGAGGAAGCACCAGACUGUUUCCACAAUGGCUGCACCAAUUGACAUCCCCGCCGUGUGCAGGGUUCCCUCCCCACACCCUCACCAGCACUCACUUUUGUCUUUCUAAAGACAGCCAGCCUAACAGGUGAGAGGCAAUAUCUCAUUGCAGUUUUGACUUGCAUUUCUCUGAUAAUUAUUGAUGGUGAAUCUUUUAAAAUAUAUCUGUUGGCCAUUUAUAUGUCUACUUUUGAGAAACAUCUAUUCAGAUUUUUUGCUCAGUUUUUUCAGGCAAGUUAUUUUGUUUUUGCUAUUGAAUUGUAUGAAUUCUUCAUAUAUCUUAGAUAUUAACUCCUGAUCAGAUAAAUGGUUCAAAAAUACUUUCUCCCAUUCCAUAGGUUGUAUCAAUAGAUAGUGAUUAAAAAAAAAACGAUAAUGGUACUUAGGAGUUUAAUUUCCUUAUCACUGUGAACAUUCAGAAUACUGGGAGCCAAAAUCAUAUUCUCCAGAGAAGGAAAAAUGGCUAGAUCACAUCUAAAAGAACUGGAGUUAAAACAGCCCUGACCCUAAACCCAGGAAGGGCGGGAAUCAGGGUCAGCCUCCCCGGUGGCGGCACGUGCCGUGGGUGAUGCCAGAGUGUACCACCUCCCCCCGUCCCCAGGAUCUCCCUAAAACUCAUAACCCCGGGGUAACCCUGAAAAAACAUCAGACAAAUGCAAAUUCAAAACAUUCUACAAAAUACUCAGCCAGUACCCCUCAAAAGUGUCAAACUCAUGAAAAACCAAACACAAAAACAAAAG